rnacentral:tRNA from 1 species
ACUGGGGUGGCAGAGCAUGGUAAAUUGCGAAAGACCUAAGCCCUUUUAUACCAGAGGUUCAAAUCCUCUCCCCAGUU